GAACGAUAUAAAGCGGUUGGUUGAUGUCUCCCAGGUGUCGGGUUGAUUCAGGGAAGGAGGCGGAGCCUCAGGGGCAUGACUCAUACAUGUGAAAUUGAGCAGAUUUAAUACACAGUUGCUGCCUAUGGAGACUAGAAAAAGAUGCUUCACAGAGAGACUCAAAAUAGACCAGGCAGGUGUUAAGACAAGGUAAAGAGAUGAAGUGACCUAGUGGCUAGAAUUUGGAGAGAAAGUUCCAGAUAUAUGUGGUAGCAUAAGUAGAAAAGUGGCAGCCUCCCUCUGCAGCUAUGAAGUCACAAGAAGCAGCCCAGUUUGUGUGAGCAGACGGGGGAGUUGCUGGACAUGAGUUUCACCAUUGUUAGCAUGAGAGCCUUCUCCUCUGCAUCACAAACCAUCUACAGCAGCCUGCCUCUCACUCCACUUCUGUUCAAUCGCAUCUGAGAAGGAAACUUCUGGUCAAGUGUGUAUUUUCGACGGGCCAAACCUUGAAGUCCUGACUGAGUGCCAGAUUGUGCCUGACCUUAUGUGAAUAUCAGGGUUACCGACUCUUAUCACAGGACCCAUGUUAAAACAAACCCAACAAAAGGAACAAAGCUUGAGAUCCGGUCCACAAAAACAAACCUUAAGAUCCAGACGAAGCAGAGCAGUUCUCUCUUUGCGGCUGCACAGUGUUGGGAAAUGAAUCAUUUCAUUUCAAAGGGUCUACUAGCAAGCUUCAAACACCCUAUGAAUGAGGUGGUGGAUACAAACAGAAUGGAUUAAUGUCAGUCCAUGUUUGAAGGUUCUCAGUGAGGAUUUUCAGAGGACUAGAAAUGCUUGUGGGGCGGGGGGGGGGAAGUAAUAAAAUCAAUUUUACCCUGGCAGGCAGGCAAGCUAGAACAGUGGGUCCUUUUUCAGACUGACCGCUCUUCUUGCCUUGCCUUUCCCUGACCACUAACACCCCAGAUCCUCAGCCUGGCAGAGCCUCAUCCAUGCAGUGCUGGAGUAAGGGAUGCUGAAGAGACUUUACAAAUUAAUCAUUAGUGUUUGCACAUCUACUUUGCAAGAGACGGAGGAUAUUUUGUACACCAAGCUCUAAAUUCGGACUCAGAUGUGAUGCCCACACAGGAGCGCAGAGAGGAAUAAACCCCAACACCCUUUAUUCCCCUGCCUGUGUUACCUGGACCUUUGGAUUGGGUGCACAAAGGUCAGGGGCACUGGAUCAUCUUACUUCUGCAGUAGGUGAGCAGGGAAAGGUGGGGAAUGGAUGGAACCAGGACUCUGCUUCCCCCUCCCCACUACACCCAACAGAGCUGAGCCCUGAGCCGCACACUAGGUAGAGGCCAGAAAUAAAUUACUACCCCCCGGAGCCACAAUUCCUCCCUUGCACUGUGUUACAUGGGGUAUGCCCAUGGGACACAAUCUAGUCUUGCAUUUGAAGAACAUUUUUUAACUAUCCUCACUAAAAUCAUUUUGCACAUUUCCCCAGGAAAUUCUAGACUGGUAACAUAUUAAACUCCUCUCCCCAAUGUGUAUGGGAGUUUGGUCAUCUCGGGUACAAACUUUGGUGUGUACAGUGCUUUUCACACUGACUUGAGGUGUGAUCUUGGCCAAAUCUCCGAAUCUCUACAGGCCAGGAUUUUAAAGAUAUUCAGGUGCCUAAAGAUGCACCUUAGAUAGGUACUUAGUGGGAUUUUCAAAAGCACAUGGGGAAUUAGAUGCAUAGACUCACUUGCAUAACCCACUAGAUGCCUAUCUGCAUCUCUAGGCACCUAGCUACAUUUAAAAAUUUGACUUAGGCACCUAAUCCUAUUGACUUUCAAUAAUACUUAGGGUUUUAACACCUAUGCCACUCUUGAAAAUUGAAUUUAGGCACCUAAGUGACUUAGGCACUUUAGAUGAUUUUCCCCCAAAUUCUUUUGUAACAAAUAUUUCAUCCAGCUCGAGGAAAAUGAAAAUAGCAAUCUGGAGGAUACACUUCUUUAAAGCACCUGGCUUCCAUAACUCUAGAACAGAGUAUAUUUUUAUAAAGUAAGAAAAAGUUAAGAAUACAAAAUGUGAAUGACUAU